UACAGAGGUCUCGAGCGUUAGGCGGAAUCACUGGGCUUAAAGCGUGUGUAGGCGGAUCGUUAAGUGCCUUGUGAAAUCCCCGGGCUCAACCCGGGAACUGCGUCCGAUACUGGAAGGCUUGAAUCCGGGAGAGGGAUGCGGAAUUCCAGGUGUAGCGGUGAAAUGCGUAGAUAUCUGGAGGAACACCGGUGGCGAAGGCGGCAUCCUGGACCGGCAUUGACGCUGAGGCGCGAAAGCGAGGGGAGCAAACGGG
rnacentral:rRNA from 1 species